UCAGCCACAACCUCACUCCAGGAUGGAAGC
rnacentral:piRNA from 1 species